rnacentral:piRNA from 1 species
UUCUAGGAUACUGGGGCCCCCUCUC